GGUUCCUCCGUGAGACGGUGCUGUGAGGGUGGGUGCCCAGCUGUGUGCGCAGCGUGUGUGCCAGGCUGAGCAGCUGGCACGGGGUGGGCAGUUCAGUGAGAUUAAGUACCUUCACAUUGUUGUACGAUCACCACCACCGUCCGUCUCCACACCUUUUGCAUCAUUCCUGUACUCGUGAAAUGAUAACUCCUCCUCUCCCUUCACCCAGCCUUGAUUUACCCUCCAUCGUCUCCUGUGUGGGGAGCCAUCUUCAAAUUCUCCAGGAUCUGGGAGAAAAAUCCAACAUCUGUCUGUAUAUCCACGUGCUGCUGCCCUGCUACCGGCUCCUGGUACAUACCUCAGCUGGUGGUGCCCAGAAGGGAGAUACAAGAUUCCCUGUGCCCGGAGCUCUCUUUCUGGCCCUUGUCAUCUUGGAGCCACUGGACUCAUCCUGAAGACUCUGCUCAAUUGUCAUGUCCUCAGUGAAGCCUCCUGCAAGCACCCGCCCCAGCCGAUGAGUCACUUCUGUGUCCCUGCAGCUGCUGCUAAGAUCUGUCACAUCAAUCCUCCCAGGCCUGGUUCCCCACUCAACCCCAGGCUUCUCAGGGUCUGAGAUUUAAAACUUCACCCCAAUCACAGAUGUUCGGUGUUUCUAGCAAACCUGAGCUCAGCAAAUGCUUGUUGAAUGAACAGAUGAGUUUCCUCUGCCGCCGGGCCCUGUGCCAGGUUAUUUAUGUGAAAAUUGUGAGGAACCUUCUGUUGGAUAUUCCAGGCUUCUUCUAGGGACAAAGAGUAGCCAGGUGAAAAUGGAGAAGUCAGACUGUCCCUUCUCAGACCCUACUGUGGCUCUCUUUACUCUGAACAAAAGCUGGUCUCGGACUUCCCUGGUGACGCAGUGGUUAAGAAUCUGCCUGCCAAUGCAGGGGACACGGGUUCGAGCCCUGGUCUGGGAAGAUCCCACAUGCCGUGCGGAGCAACUAAGCCCAUGCGCCACAACUACUGAGCCUGCGCUCUAGAGCCCGCGAGCCACAACUACUAAGCCCAGGUGACACAACUACUAAAGCCUGCGCGCCUAGAGCCCGUGCUCUGCAACAAGAGAAGCCACCGCAAUGAGAAGCCCGCGCACCGCAACAAAGAGUAGCCCCCGCUUGCCACAGCUAGAGAAAGCCCGUGCACAGCAACGAAGACCCAACGCAGCCAAAAAUAAAAAAAUAAAUAAAUCAAAACCCCAAAUAACCAAAAAAACCCCAAAAUGGCCUGGUCUCUAUCCCAGCAACUCAGAGAGCUUCAGUCUCUGGUCAAGGUCACGGAGCUUAUGUUGAGGACAGAAUCAGGACCCAAACCCAGCCAGCCUGGCUCCAAAGCUGAUGCUCUUUCAUUGAGCUCCUGCCUUGU